rnacentral:rRNA from 1 species
UACGUAGGGGGCAAGCGUUGUCCGGAUUUAUUGGGCGUAAAGAGCGUGUAGGCGGCCAGACAGGUCAGCUGUGAAAACUCGAGGCUCAACCUCGAGACGUCGGUUGAAACCGUCUGGCUAGAGUCCGGAAGAGGAGAGUGGAAUUCCCGGUGUAGCGGUGAAAUGCGCAGAUAUCGGGAAGAACACCCGUGGCGAAGGCGGCCCUCUGGGACGGUACUGACGCUGAGACGCGAAAGCGUGGGGAGCGAACAGG